rnacentral:rRNA from 1 species
AAAACAACGCUGGCGGCAGGCUUAACACAUGCAAGUCGAACGACAUAGUGGCAGACGGGUGAGUAACGCGUGGAAACGUACCUUUCACUACGGAAUAGCUCUUGGAAACGAGUGGUAAUACCGUAUACGCCCUUCGGGGGAAAGAUUUAUCGGUGAAAGAUCGGUCCGCGUUAGAUUAGCUAGUUGGUGAGGUAAGAGCUCACCAAGGCGACGAUCUAUAGCUGGUCUGAGAGGAUGAUCAGCCACACUGGGACUGAGACACGGCCCAGACUCCUACGGGAGGCAGCAGUGGGGAAUAUUGCACAAUGGGCGAAAGCCUGAUGCAGCCAUGCCGCGUGAAUGAUGAAGGCCUUAGGGUUGUAAAAUUCUUUCGCUAGGGAUGAUAAUGACAGUACCUAGUAAAGAAGCCCCGGCUAACUUCGUGCCAGCAGCCGCGGUAAUACGAAGGGGGCUAGCGUUGUUCGGAAUUACUGGGCGUAAAGCGCACGUAGGCGGGUUAUUAAGUCAGAUGUGAAAUCCCAAGGCUCAACCUUGGAACUGCAUUUGAAACUGAUAGCCUAGAGAUCAGGAGAGGUUAGCGGAAUACCGAGUGUAGAGGUGAAAUUCGUAGAUAUUCGGUGGAACACCAGUGGCGAAGGCGGCUAACUGGACUGAUACUGA